GACGAACGCUGGCGGCGUGCCUAAUACAUGCAAGUUGAGCGCUGAAGGUUGGUACUUGUACCAACUGGAUGAGCAGCGAACGGGUGAGUAACGCGUGGGGAAUCUGCCUUUGAGCGGGGGACAACAUUUGGAAACGAAUGCUAAUACCGCAUAAAAACUUUAAACACAAGUUUUAAGUUUGAAAGAUGCAAUUGCAUCACUCAAAGAUGGUCCCGCGUUGUAUUAGCUAGUUGGUGAGGUAAAGGCUCACCAAGGCGAUGAUACAUAGCCGACCUGAGAGGGUGAUCGGCCACAGUGGGACUGAGACACGGCCCAAAAUCCUACGGGAGGCAGCAGUAGGGAAUCUUCGGCAAUGGACGAAAGUCUGACCGAGCAACGCCGCGGGAGUGAAGAAGGUUUUCGGAUCGUAAAACUCUGUUGGUAGAGAAGAACGUUGGUGAGAGUGGAAAGCUCAUCAAGUGACGGUAACUACCCAGAAAGGGACGGCUAACUACGUG
rnacentral:rRNA from 1 species